AUGACAGGAAUGACCUUUUAUUCCAGGGACAAAAAAUGCAAAUCGAGAUUUCAAAAUCCCAGAGAGUUUCUGAAAACAAGAUUCAAAGCCUUCUGUAUUACAUUUACUUUUAGAAGGCAGGGCUGCCUGAUGGUCUUAUCUCCCAUGAUUAAUGUGAGGUUGUUUGCCGCAGACAGCAACAUAACUGUCUUGUGGCCUAGGGUAAAUUAAGAGCAGACUGAAGCUGGGUUUGGUUUGAGGAGGUGGCAGGUAAGACUCCAAUACAAACGUCCCCAAGUUCAAACCUAUCGCUAGGGCUUUUAUUUCAGAUCCCAGAGGCACUCUGUUUGGCUCUGCAGUUAAAGGCCAUCACAAACUAAGCUCUCAGAAAUGGAAAUUUCUGUAAAUGUAGUAUUUGAAUAACAACUUCCCACUUUUAGCAAGAUAAAGGAAAUGAACACAGCAAUCUGAACUACUUGAGGAAGUGUUCCUGAAAUCUAGUUUAUGCCUUUGAAUACCCCUGCAAGCUGGCUUUACUUAAAGCUCUUGGAGUUAUUUUGUACCAACUCUUUUAUCAACUAAUGGAAAGCAGAAUAUGUAUGACCUGAUGGUUUUAGGGUCCUUUCUCUUUCUGAAUAUCAUUCAGGCUCUGGAGUGUAUUAUGCAGUCCCUUUUAUUAGCCAUUGGGAUAGUCUUUCAUGUGAAUGAAGUGGAUUUCAGAACAAUUCCUUGCAUUUUCUCCUCAUUUCAAUAAUCUGAAUAAGGACAAGAGAUGUUUGCUUAAAUUCUGUGUUCAGAAAAAUUCUCCUACCUUAUUUGAAAGUUCAAGCUGGUAAGUAUACAGAGAUCUCCCUUGCAGGGCRGGCUGGACUGAAUCCAAACCUCUACAGGUCACUGAGCUUUUCUCAGGGUUCAGUCAUCAAAUAAUCUGUAACUUCUGAAUUUCUGUAGUAAAAGUCUAGUAACGACACCCUGUGCAUGGCAGGGUGAUAUACAUCUGUGCCUCUGGACUCUGGCACCAUACAUCAGUUUGUGCAAUAUUCAUGUCAAGAUAUAGUUCCUCCCAAGACCUUUUUGGGGACCAAUCCUUCCCCCGCUUACUGCUUACUUAAGUGAUUAUUUGGCCUCAGUGUUGACCCAGAAAAUGCAACAGAAAGGUACAGGCUUUCAGUGRGCCAUCAGCCAAAAUGCAGUGUCUUGGGUGUGCAAAACUGAUUAGAUUUGAACCUUU
rnacentral:lncRNA from 1 species